rnacentral:lncRNA from 1 species
AUGGGGAGAGGACCCCAAAAUUGGGACUGGGACAUUUUGGGGACCCCAAAAAUUUGGAUUGGGACAAUUUGGGGACCCCAAAAAUGGGGAUGGGACCCCCAAAAUGGGAUGGGGACAAUUUGGGGACCCCAAAAAUUUGGGAUGGGACCCCAAAAUUGGGGACAAAGCCUCUCAGACACCCCGAAAUCUCCGCUCCCAAAAUUUUAUUUCCUGAACCUUUCCAGGGCUCCCCUUUUUUGGGGGGAUCCCCCCAAAUUCCGGCCGGGAAUCCCCUCCUUCCCUUUCCCGGGAUUUUUGGGCUUUCCCCGCCUUUUUCCCACUUUUUUUUGGGAUUUUUCCGGGGUUUUUUUCCCAAUUUUUGGGGAUUUUUCUCCCAAUUUUUCUCCAAUUUUUUGGGAUUUUUCCGGGGUUUUUUUCCCAAUUUUUGGGAAUUUUUCCAGGGUUUUUUCCCCAAUUUUUUGGGAUUUUUCUCCCAUUUUUUCCCCAAUUUUUUUGGGAUUUUUCUCCCAAUUUUUCCCCAAUUUUUUGGGAUUUUUCUCCCAACUUUUCCCCAAUUUUUUGGGAUUUUUCUCCCAUUUUUUCCAUGAUUUUUUGGGAUUUUUCUCCCAACUUUUCUCCAAUUUUUGGGAAUUUUUCUCCCAUUUUUUCCAUGAUUUUUGGGGAUUUUUCUCCCAUUUUUUCCCCAAUUUUUUGGGAUUUUUCUCCCAUUUUUUCCCCGUUUUUCUGGGAUUUUCCCAUCAUUUUUCCCCCAUUUUUUUGAAGGAUUUCUCCCGUUUUUCCCGCGGAUUUUGGGGAUUUUCCCGCCAUUUUUCCCGCGGAUUUUGGGGGUUUUCCCGCCAUUUUUCCCGCGGAUUUUGGGGGUUUUCCCGCCGUUUUUUUCCCGGUUUUUUGGAGGAUUUUUCCCGUUUUUUCCCCGUUUUUCCUCUCCUUUUUCCUCCUUUUCCUGGGGGGUUCCCCCUCCUCGUUUUUCUCCUUCUGCUCCAAACUCUGCCGGAUCCGGGCCUGGGGGAGGAGGGGGGAAAAAUUCGGGAAUUCCCAAAAUUUGGGAAUUCCCAAAAUCCUGGGAACCCCCCCCCAAAAAAAAAGUUUGGGAAUUUCCUCAAAAAUUCCAGGAAUUCCCUGGGAAACUCUUCCCAAAUUUUUGGGGUUUUUGUUUUGGGGAUGGAGGGUGAGGACACCCAGGAAUUCCUGAAGAAUUCCCAAAAAAAAUUCCCAAAAAUUCCCCCCAAAAUUUCCCAAAAAAUCCCCCCAAAAAUCAAAAAAAAUCCCCCAAAAAUCCCUAAAAAAUUCCCAAAAAAUCCCAAAAAACUCCCAAAAAAUCCCCCAAAAAAUCCCCAAAAACCCCAAAAAAUCCCCAAAAAUUCCCAAAAAAUUCCCCCCCCCAAAAAUAUAAAAAAACCCAAAAAAAAUCCCAGAAGAAAACCAAAAAAUUCCCAAAAAAUCCCCCAAAAAUCCCAAAAAAAUUCCCAAAAAAUCCCCCCAAAAUUCCCAAAAAAUCCCCAAAAAAUUCCCAAAAAAUAAAAAAAAAUUUCCCCAAAAAUCCCCUCAAAAUUCCCAAAAAAUCCCCCAAAAAUUCCAAAAAAAUCCCCAAAAUUCCCAAAAAAAUUCCCAAAAAAUCCCCCAAAAUUCCCAAAAAAUCCCCCCAAAAUCCCCCAAAAUUCCCAAAAAAUAAAAAAAAAUUCCCCCCAAAAAUCCCCA